UACGAAGGGGGCUAGCGUUGCUCGGAAUCACUGGGCGUAAAGCGCACGUAGGCGGAUUGUUAAGUCAGGGGUGAAAUCCUGGAGCUCAACUCCAGAACUGCCUUUGAUACUGGCGAUCUCGAGUCCGGGAGAGGUGAGUGGAACUGCGAGUGUAGAGGUGAAAUUCGUAGAUAUUCGCAAGAACACCAGUGGCGAAGGCGGCUCACUGGCCCGAUACUGACGCUGAGGCACGAAAGCGUGGGGAGCAAGACGG
rnacentral:rRNA from 1 species